GACGAACGCUGGCGGCGUGCUUAACACAUGCAAGUCGAACGGAAAGGCCCUGCUUUUGUGGGGUGCUCGAGUGGCGAACGGGUGAGUAACACGUGAGUAACCUGCCCUUGACUUUGGGAUAACUUCAGGAAACUGGGGCUAAUACCGGAUAGGAGCUCCUGCUGCAUGGUGGGGGUUGGAAAGUUUCGGCGGUUGGGGAUGGACUCGCGGCUUAUCCGCUUGUUGGUGGGGUAGGGGCUUACCAAGGCUUUGACGGGUAGCCGGCCUGAGAGGGUGACCGGCCACAUUGGGACUGAGAUACGGCCCAGAAUCCUACGGGCGGCAGCAGGGGGGAAUAUUGCACAAUGGGCGGAAGCCUGAUGCAGCAACGCCGCGUGCGGGAUGACGGCCUUCGGGUUGUAAACCGCUUUCGACUGUGACGAAGCGGGAGUGACGGUAAUGGGUAAAGAAGCACCGGCUAACUACGUG
rnacentral:rRNA from 1 species